rnacentral:rRNA from 1 species
CUUCAGCUGAGCUAAUUAAGUGAAGCCGCGAAUAGCUCAUUACAAUAGCCGUUGUUUCUUGGAUCCUCAAUUUACUUGGAUACCUGUGGUAAUUCUAGAGCUAAUACAUGCGACUAAGGGCCGAACUCACGUGACGCUUGCAUUUAUUAGAUCAAGACUAACCGGCUUCGGCCGUUAACUUGGUGACUCUGAAUAACUCAGCUGAUCGCACGGUCUAGUGCCGGCGACAUAUCUUUCAAGUGUCUACCUUAUCAACUGUCGAUGGUAGUUUAUGUGACUACCAUGGUUGUAACGGGUAACGGAGAAUCAGGGUUUGACUCCGGAGAGGGAGCCUGAGAAACGGCUACCACUUCUAAGGAAGGCAGCAGGCGCGCAAAUUACACAAUCUCAGCACGAGGAUGUAGUGACGAAACAUACCGAGGCGAUGCCCUUUCGGGUGUCGUCAUUGGAAUGAGUCGAAUCUAAAAAAUUCGGCAAGGAUCUAGUGGAGGGCAAGUCUGGUGCCAGCAGCCGCGGUAAUUCCAGCUCCGCAAGUGUAUAUCUAUGCUGUUGCGGUUAAAAAGCUCGUAGUUUGAUUCGCGUACUUAGCACGCAGUGUGGCCUUUCGGCUACUACUGUGAUGCGGUACAUUAUCGUCAGUUUGUCGUUGAUGCUCUUCAUUGGGUGUCAGCGGCGGCUGUCAAGUUUACUUUGAACAAAUUAAAGUGCUCAAUACAGGCGUUUCGCUUGUAUAGUUCUGCAUGGAAUAAUAGAAUAGGACUUACGUUCUAUUGUGUUGGUUUUCAGAACGAAAGUAAUGAUUAAGAGGGACAGACGGGGUCAUUCGUACUGCCACGUUAGAGGUGAAAUUCUUGGAUCGUGGCAAGACGAACUACUGCGAAAGCAUUGACAAGAA